AGCGAACGUUAGCGGCGGGCCUAACACAUGCAAGUCGAGCGAGAAAGUGGCUUCGGCCAUCAGUAAAGCGGCGGACGGGUGAGUAACACGUAGGUAAGCUUCCCUUGAGCGGGGGACAACGAGCCGAAAGGCUCGCUAAUACCGCAUACGUUUCUCGGGACUCUGGUCCUGGGAAGGAAAGCUAGGCAGCAAUGUCCGGCACUCGAGGAGGAGCCUGCGUCGCAUCAGCUAGUUGGUGGGGUAACGGCCUACCAAGGCGAAGACGCGUAGCUGGUCUGAGAGGAUGAUCAGCCACACUGGGACUGAGACACGGCCCAGGCUCCUACGGGAGGCAGCAGUGGGGAAUAUUGGACAAUGGGCGCAAGCCUGAUCCAGCCACGCCGCGUGAGUGAUGAAGGCCUUCGGGUCGUAAAGCUCUGUGGGGAGGGACGAACCGCCGGAUGUGCAUAGCAUCCGGCAUGACGGUACCUCCUUAGCAAGCACCGGCUAACUUCGUGCCAGCCGCCGCGGUAACAC
rnacentral:rRNA from 1 species